rnacentral:rRNA from 1 species
UACGUAGGGGGCAAGCGUUGUCCGGAAUCAUUGGGCGUAAAGAGCGCGUAGGCGGUCCGGUAAGUCAGCUGUGAAAGUCAAGGGCUCAACCCUUGAAAGCCGGUUGAUACUGUCGGGCUAGAGUCCGGAAGAGGCGAGUGGAAUUCCCGGUGUAGCGGUGAAAUGCGCAGAUAUCGGGAGGAACACCAAUGGCGAAGGCAGCUCUCUGGGACGGUACUGACGCUGAGACGCGAAAGCGUGGGGAGCGAACAGG